GUGGGGAAUAUUGGACAAUGGGCGGAAGCCUGAUCCAGCCAUGCCGCGUGUGUGAAGAAGGCCUUUUGGUUGUAAAGCACUUUAAGCGAGGAGGAGGCUCUUAAGGUUAAUACCCUUGAUGAGUGGACGUUACUCGCAGAAUAAGCACCGGCUAACUCUGUGCCAGCAGCCGCGGUAAUACAGAGGGUGCGAGCGUUAAUCGGAUUUACUGGGCGUAAAGCGCGCGUAGGUGGCCAAUUAAGUCAAAUGUGAAAUCCCCGAGCUUAACUUGGGAAUUGCAUUCGAUACUGGUUGGCUAGAGUAUGGGAGAGGAUGGUAGAAUUCCAGGUGUAGCGGUGAAAUGCGUAGAGAUCUGGAGGAAUACCGAUGGCGAAGGCAGCCAUCUGGCCUAAUACUGACACUGAGGUGCGAAAGCAUGGGGAGCAAACAGGAUUAGAAACCCUUGUAGUCC
rnacentral:rRNA from 1 species